AUUGAACGCUGGCGGCAGGCCUAACACAUGCAAGUCGAACGAGUGGCGGACGGGUGAGUAAUGUCUGGGAAACUGCCUGAUGGAGGGGGAUAACUACUGGACACGGUAGCUAAUACCGCAUACCAUCGGAUGUGCCCCGAUGGGAUUAGCUAGUAGGUGGGGUAAAGGCUCACCUAGGCGACUAUCCCUAGCUGGUCUGAGAGGAUGACCAGCCACAAUGGAACUGAGACACGGUCCAGACUCCUCCGGGAGGCAGCAGUGGGGAAUAUUGCACAAUGGGCGCAAGCCUAAUGCAGGCAUGCCGCGGGUAUGAAGAAGGCCUUCCGGUUGUAAAGCACUUUCAGCGGGGAGGCGUUACUCGCAGAAGAAGCACCGGCUAACUCCGUGCCAGCAGCCGCGGUAAUUC
rnacentral:rRNA from 1 species